rnacentral:lncRNA from 1 species
GGGUCCAUUCGUCGGUGACUCCUCGUGGUGGAGAGGAAUGUCGGGAGGUGGAUCUGGAGGCCCCACCUUGAAAAAAGCCUGUUGGAUCCCCAAAUCUGGCGCCUGGUUGGUCUCCUUCUUGUUUCUGGUUCUGCUGCCAUGGAGGUAUGAGGAAAGGGAUGAGAGGGGUAAGAUCAGGUGGCAGACGAACUAUCUUUGUUAAUCCUUGGAGCAAACCGAUUGCAGCUAUGCUUCCUCUACAUGAUGAUAAGUUGCAGUAUCUUAUGGUCGAAUGGCGACCAAUCGGAGUUCUGGUGAUGGCUGGCUCCUUUCUUUCCUCCCGGCUGUUGUACCAAAAGGGAGGCAGUUAUGUUGCUUCAACCUGGCGAUUCAAGACUCUACCUCCAGCGGCUCGUCGGUGGUGCUCUAGCCAUCCCUCUGCCCUGGUUUCGUCCCCGGCGGCAGCGGGAUUGGGCCAGAGCUGAAGCUUGCGACGAGGACUCGAUUGCAUUUUAGCUUCGUCUUCUGGGAUCAUGUUUGCAAAGUGUGUGGACCGGGUUGUAACUUUUAUUUUUCUAAUGGGUCCAUCUGUAAAAUGUACUUGGUUGUCUGUCUAAUAUGAGUCUGGGUUCUUCGGGACCCUACCUCUGUUAAAAAAAAGGCGUCUUGCCGUGUGCACCUAACACCUGUUUUUUUUGCGAAUUAACACGCGUUAUUUUUGCACACAUGCAUGGGUAAAAUUGUGGUAGAUGAAAGCAAACUCUUAGCCGAUGACAGUCUUUGCGUCCCAUGCGUUGGAGAGCAAGCGAGGUUUUUAUUUUAUCUUAAAAGAAGUCCAAGAGAGCGAGC